GCUUCAAAGUUAUGUGUCCAUCUUUCUCUCUCUCUUUCUUUUACACGUCGACUCAGGCACCGAGAGAGAGAGAGAGAGAGCGAGAAUCUAGAGAGAGGGGAAUCUAGAGAGAGAAAGGGGGAGAAAUGUCUUUCGACUCAUUCAGCCACGACGGCGAAGACAUGCUGAGGACUUCCAGCCAUCCUUUCGGAGACGACGACGGCGACGGCGGCUACGACAGCUACUCCGGUGGCUACACCUCAGCCGCGGAUCCACCGCCUUUCAGCGGCGGAUUCUCCGGCGGCUACGAGGAUCAUGUCCCUCACUCUGUGAACAGUCCUGAUGCUUUUGGAUUUGGCUCGGAUCCGAGCUCCGACUACGCACAGUCGUCGCCGUUCACUUCUUCGGUCCCUAUAUCGAACGGCAACGGCAAGGCCUACGACAUCAGCGAGGACACCGAUGGAAUUUUUGCUUCUGACGGGCCUGUGCUUCCUCCUCCGAAUGAAAUGCACGAGGAAGGGUUUGCUCUUCGCGAAUGGCGGAGUCAAAAUGCCAUACGGCUUGAGGAGAAGGAGAAGAGAGAGAAGGAGAUGCGAAUUCAGAUUAUAGAGGAGGCAGAAGAGUAUAAGCGAGCUUUCUAUGAUAAAAGAAAGCUCAACAUAGAGACUAACAAGACCACCAACAGAGAGAGAGAGAAGUUAUACUUGGAGAAUCAAGAUAAGUUCCAUAAAAAUGCGGAUAAAGAAUACUGGAAAGCGAUUGCAGAGCUCAUUCCUCGGGAAGUUCCCAAUAUCGAAAAGAAGAGAGGCAAGAAAGAACAAGAGAAGAAGCCAGGGAUCACAAUCAUUCAGGGCCCCAAGCCUGGGAAACCCACCGAUCUCUCGAGGAUGCGCCACAUGCUGCUGAAGCUGAAACACACGCCGCCGCCUCACAUGGUGCCUCCCCCGCCUGCUCCGGCCAAGGAUGCCAAAGAUGGAAAGGAUGCAAAAAAGGAUCCCAAGGGUGAGAAAAAUGCCAAAGAUGAGAAAAUAGCAGCACCAAAUCCAUCGGGAUCAGGGGCUACUCCUGUAAAGGAUGCGGACACCGAAUCAACGUCUAAAUCAGAAGAUUCUUCUGCUGCAGCCGAGGCCGAGCCUGUGGCUUGAAGAGUUCACAUUCGUUCAAUAUAGCCUGAUCGUCUACCAUACAAAAUUCCGGGCAACUUUUUUUAAUGAGUUCCGAUCCUAUUUUCAGUGGUUUAUUGUGUUGUCGGAUUUGCCAUUUUGUCACCUCUCUCUGUUACUGGGACCUCAUGGUUGUAUUUGGUUUGAGAUGUGUUUGUUCGUUAACAUCGGUCGUAGGUACAUACAUGCAUGUGGAUGGGGUGAAACAUGCUGGAGCUGGACUGCCUGCAGUUCCUGCAGAAAUUCGGCCGUCCCAUUAACUUUGGAAAUUUUUGGGGGGGAAAGCUCUGCUAUCAUUUUCUUGAGAAUGCUCUGUUUUUGUUUUUAAGCUCUAAAAAGACACAACGGUAUUAUUAUUAUUAUUUUACAUUUUAAAUCAAUCCUUUUGCUUUUUAAAAAAUUUAUUAUAUUUGGGGAGUUAUUGUUAGACAUCAUAAUUAAGUUUUGGUCAUGUACUACGCUCGAAAUAUGAUUCGAUUUGUAUUCUCAAAAAUGCCUUUUUAAAUGCUAAGAAAUGUAUUCAAAUAACUGUUUGUUGCAUU